rnacentral:rRNA from 1 species
AGUGAACGCUGGCGGUAGGCCUAACACAUGCAAGUCGAACGGCAGCACAGUAAGAGCUUGCUCUUACGGGUGGCGAGUGGCGGACGGGUGAGGAAUACAUCGGAAUCUACUUUUUCGUGGGGGAUAACGUAGGGAAACUUACGCUAAUACCGCAUACGACCUACGGGUGAAAGCAGGGGAUCUUCGGACCUUGCGCGAUUGAAUGAGCCGAUGUCGGAUUAGCUAGUUGGCGGGGUAAAGGCCCACCAAGGCGACGAUCCGUAGCUGGUCUGAGAGGAUGAUCAGCCACACUGGAACUGAGACACGGUCCAGACUCCUACGGGAGGCAGUAGUGGGGAAUAUUGGACAAUGGGCGCAAGCCUGAUCCAGCCAUACCGCGUGGGUGAAGAAGGCCUUCAGGUUGUAAAGCCCUUUUGUUGGGAAAGAAAAGCAGCAGGUUAAUACCCCGCUGUUCUGACGGUACCCAAAGAAUAAGCACCGGCUAACUUCAUG